AGCAAUCUGGGGAGAGGUUGAAACAGGAUCCCGCGGGAAAUAACAUCCUGCCUUGGCAGGCGGAUCUGCAAUGCUUGCUAAACCUCAGAGGGGUCUCUUCUCGCGGCCCGGCAACUAGUUUUUCAUUUGCUCAGCAAUCCCGGGAGAUGCUCCCUGGGUCGACGUCCAGGCACGCGACUGACCUCAGGUUCGGGAAAAGAACAAAAUAAAUAAAUCAAAAGCCCUUUCUGGAAUGGGGAAGGAUUGGGGCGGGAGAUAGCCCCAAGUAGGGUCUCUCCAUUGAAACCAAAGAAAUCAGAAGGAGAAUGAGAGCUAGACUUCCUUCCUGAAGGAUUUUCCCCUUGGACCACAGCCUAGGCAGGCCCCCCGAUCAGAUUUGUUGAAGCAAGGGCUGGAAAGAGCAGCUGGCGGCAGCAAUCUGAUGAAGAAACAAAGGAAUGCCCCGCCGGUUCUGGGAUCCCAGCCCACUGCCUAUAUUGCUGAGGAUGAUGAUGGAAGUUGCUGCCUGUUUCUUCUGGAAGAUGCUGGAAUUGGGAAGAAUGGUUGUUUUAGUCCAAUAUCAAGGGAAGGUUUCCCACCAGUCAAUGAGCCAUUAUAGAAUCAGUAUCUCAAGUAAGUAAUGUUAACCAUAUCAUCCUUCUUAAAAGUGUCAUUACUCAAUGGAUACAUAUCGGGUGGGGGGGAUGAGAUUGAUUAAUCCUAAGAGUCAAGAGCUUCCAAAUAGAAUUAUUGAAUCAUUCUGACUUGAAUUCUGUGGAUAUAGUGGGGUUAAUGGAAUUUAUUGCUAUAACCAUGUAAGACCUCUCCUCCAAAUGGUUUAAUGUUCAACUAGCCCACACUAUAUCUGGAAAUAGAAGUAAUACCGUAACUGGGUUGCCCGGUUUGAAGCUCAUCUUGUGGUCAUAUCACCAUGCCAGGAAUAUUAUGAUGUAGAUUCCAAUAUUUUCAGGUCGUUGAUUAUUCAAUGUCCAGUUAGCGGCGUAACUUUUAUAGACUGUUGGUCAUUAACCUAGUGGUAGAGGCCGAGACAUGCUCACAUCACACUUCUGAUCCUAUCCUGCAAAAAAUUACCUGAUUUUACUUCUCCCAAACUGGCAGAAUUGGCAGUUCUUGAAGUUGGGGGCUUCAGUUUUCCACUAGCCAGGAGAAAUGGGACCUUUUACAAUGUGGUGCAAUCUUGCUGGUAGUUAUCUUACCCAGGGUGCCCGCUGGCCACCUAUACCUUCUCUAGAAAGCUCCAUUCCGUCCUCUUUUCCAUUUCCCUUGAACAGCCUGCAUCCUGUGCCCUUAACUCAAUUUUUAAUAGUUUUUUUUUUAAACAUCUGCACGUUUUGCUAUUUCCUUUUUUAAACGGAUGCUUCCUUUUUGUAUUACGUCCAUAGCUACCUUAAUUCUGGCUAUGUACAGACCCAUACAAAUUCAAUAUGAAUGACAGUUAAAUUGAACCCUCGGUGUUCAAGGAACUAAAUAAGAAAGGAAAUAUGUGUUAUCUUGAUGCUUAUAAACGUAGGCUUUGGUUUGCAUAUUGUGUGGAGUUAUCUUUUUGCUUAACUCUAGUUUCUUGAGUAUGCUUCAGUUGAUUGGAUUCACAUCACUUCAUGAUUUAGGAAUGUAGAAGAGAAAUUUAUAUAUCAUAUUAAUGAUUAAGAAUCCAGGUAACCCCCUUACCAUUUAUAUUCAGUACAGGUACCACUUGACCAAGGACUCCCUAAAACUUCUUACUUGGAGGUAUCUCGGCCUGAACUUUUUCCAGACCAAACAAGUUCUCUGCCCCUUAAUUAUGACUGUUGCGUGGCAGAGGAAAUGCUCAAGCAAGAAACAUUCUUGAUCUGCUCUUUAUCGUUUGUCUUGGCUAUUUCCGGCCUCAGAAAAGGCCACUCACAAUCUUGCUGGAGAAGGGUAACUACAAAGGUUUUUGCAUCCUCUCCAGAAGGAAGUUGCAAAUGUUCCACUUCUCAGAUCACCCGACUAUCCAAUCUGAAAUUCUUUCAGAGCCUUUUGGAGCCAACUGGACAAAUUCUCAGGCUGCUCAAAGGAGUUUCUUUUCUCUCUGCUCCCCCUCCACAGAAAUAGCGUCAGGUCCCCACCCUCUCAGAUCUUGCUUCCUCCUCCCCUCCUUUUUUUUUUUUCCUAAACAGGAACAAAUUCACCUUGGCUUCUGCUUCUAACAUUUUGUCUGUGCUGGUUAAUGAGUUCAACAUAGUACAGUAAAUUUGCUGAGGAAUCAAAAAGUAUUUAAAAGGGGCUUGUGGUGCUGCCUUAAUGAAAAAAGAAUCGCGUGGCAUAAAUUAAGUUGGAAGAGAAUAAGCGCUUUGGGCAGGAUUCUGAUGGAUUUUAUGAUGCCUUUCAGUUCCGCUUUGCAGACCUAAUCGAGAAAUCUGUGCUGCGUCAAUUUAACAAAUCCUUGAGAGCGAAGGCAGGUUAGUCAAAAAGGAAUGUCAAAUGAAUCUCCAGAAAGUCUGGCUUCUAAGAUCAAAUCACCAUGGAUCCUCAAUCUACUACGCCUUUAUUCUACAGCACCCCUGACUUAACUGACCUAGGAAAAGAUGCCACCAUAGCACAUUUCUCCAGCCUGGCAAAUGUCUAUGAAAAACUGAUAAAAGAGGGUUUCUCUUGCACAAGAGGGCAUGUUUUGCACAAGGGUCUUUGGUAUUAAUGAGAUCCAGAAGGGUGGUUUUUAUCUUUGUAUUUCAGCUCCACUUCCUUUUGAUAGUACCCCUUGGUGAGAGAAAUGCUUCUGGCUCAGUUUUUUGGAGGAAUUUCCAAUAUAUUUCUUAGCUGUUGUAGAUUGUAUACUUAUCAUAUGGUAGUUUCUCACAAAAUUGCCUCAAAGGCCAAUAGGGAACCUAAAGUGUUUGAUGAACAAGUCUUACCCUGUUUACAAUCCCUGAAGACAACUGCUACAAUGAAAUCUCUGAGCUUUUACAAAAACUGCGAAUAAUUGAGAGUAACAAAAUAAUAAAGUUACUUCAAUGUAUUUAACUAAUUACAGAUGAAUAGAUGGUACUCCUUGUUUAAAUAUAUCUUUACAUGAAUCAGUGGUAUAAAAUUAAAAUAUGUGUCGAAACUCGAAAAACUUGCCAACACUGCAACACUAAAUGAGACACUACAGGAUUUCACCUAAUGGGUUCAACAGGAAGUGCUGCCCAGGGCCUAUUUUAACUUACUUAAAGUAGUUAAAAUAAUUCUUUUUCUUUCUAAACAGGUUGCAUCAGACCAAGAAUGUAAUGCAACCACAAUUAUUUCUUUCAGAAAACAUUUACAUUUGCAAUAUACAACUACAAACAUAUCUGCUGUUUUGUUAUCCUGAGGAGCAAAGUAUCAUUUAUGUUUCUGUGGAAAUGCACUUACCCAGGCAUGCCAUACUUUAAUUUAUUACACUCAGAUUUCCUUGUUUUUUCACAGGCAUUUUCCCUCUCAUUUUAGAUCAAUCUGUCUGCCACAUACACCUUGUCCAUCAGUAUUCCCCAUCCAGAUGCUCUUGUUGUUCAUUGGACUACAAUCCCCAUCAAUUUGUAGGCCAAUAUACAUGAAAAGCACGGACUGCAGAAAGCUUACAAUAUAGUUAGCAAGAGUAAGCAGAUGAACUUUCAAAAGAUACCCAGUUGAUUAUUCUCAGACUAAUUUAUCAGUGUUAUUGGGAUUUUUUUUUUAAAAAAAUGAAUCACUGCCUGGAAAAAAAGAAGAUAAAUACUAAGCUAUACUUACAAAGCCAUGUCCAUGCAUUUGACAUGCAUAUUUAAAUAAACAGCAACUUAUCUUCACUGGU